rnacentral:rRNA from 1 species
AUGGUGCGGCGCGGCGGCGCCGACGCCGGGCGGCUCGGCGGCGGGUGCACCCACGUCGUCGCCUGCGGCCGCGUCUACGACGACCCCGUGUGCGUGGCGGCUCGAGCGCAAGGGAACAAGGUCGUCAGCGAGCUCUGGGUGGACGAUAGCCUCGACCGGGGUUUUCUCGCCGACGCCGACAGGGUUAUUUACUGGCCAACGAAAGAUUUGAACGGAAUACCAGGCAGCGACUCGCUGCAGAUUUGUCUGACGGGGUACCAAAGGAAUGACCGUGAAGAUAUAAUGAAAAUGGUCUCUUUGAUGGGCGCACAAUUCUCCAAGCCUUUAUUAGGACAUGUAGUCACUCAUCUUGUGUGCUAUAAAUUUGAAGGUGAGAAGUAUGAGCUUGCCAAAAGGCUGGGAAUCAAGCUUGCUAAUCACCGGUGGUUGGAAGAUUGCUUAAAGUCAUGGGAAAUUCUUCCGGUAGAUGAUUAUAACAAGAGUAGUUGGGAACUAGAGAUAAUGGAGGUGCAAGCCAAGGAUUCAGAAGAUGAAGUAGAAGAUGAUCGAAAGCCAUUCAACAACAGAUCUGGAGUUAAGCACACUCCCAACCCAAAAAACAGCGUAGGAACUUCUCACAACCCUGAGGUUGAUGUACCUAUUAUUCCCAAUGAUAAUCAAAGUAUGGCUGUGGAUAGACAUCUGAACACUCCAGGUCAGAUCAGAAAGGAAGAGAAUGUCGUCAACAAGACACCUGAUAUCACAGCUCAAGGCACUCCUAACAUUAGUAGGUUGGCAAGUUCUGCUAACGCUGAUAGUGGUGCUCCCGUUCAAACUCCUCCUGUUAUCAGUGGCAAUAGAGAGGAAGUUGCAGUAAGAAAUUUGAACAAUCCAAAUCAGGUCCAGCCAGCGGAAUACAAAUAUGUUGGUACAGACAUUGCAAGUGGUACAUUGGGCACCCCAAGCUCAAGCAGGAUGACAGUUUCUGCUAACCAUCAUUCCCAUUCCCCAGAUGAGACCCUCAAGGUACCAAAGAACAUAGCAACUCCUAUAGCAAUCAAUGCAGGUGCCCACAGUGCUAGCAUGGAGGUUGAUGGAUCAGUGGUUAACAAUGGCAAUGCAGAAGUUUCUGAAUCAGGGAUUGAAAAAACGAUUCCUUGCCAGUAUGCUGGUGUAACCUCUAAAAAGGGCUCCAGUAGUGCAAGUACAACAGAAAAACAAACAACAUCACCGAAGAAGGUUCCACUUAGCAGAGUGGCGAGUGCCCUUGCUAAGAAGCAACAGGGUGUUUCCACCAAGGUAAAUGAUGCACAUGUAGGAUCCAAUUUGGAGUUGAGUAAGGUGACUUCUCAGGAAAAUAUUGAGACCCAUUCCUCAGAUGAGACCCUGAUGGUACAAACGAACAUAGCAACUCCUAGGGCAAAGAACCCAGGUGCCAAGAGGCCCCACAGUGCUAACAUGGAGGUUGAUGGAUCAGUGGUUGACAAUGGCAAGGCAGUAGUUUCUGAAUCAGAGACUGACAAAACAAUUCCUCACCAGCAUGCUGGCGCAACCUCUGAAAAGGGCACCAGUAGUGCAAGUGCAACAGAAAGAAAAGCAAAGUCCCCAAAGAAGGCUCCAGUUGGUGGAAUGAGAAGAAGUGCUCUUGCGAAGAGGCAACAGGGUGUUCACACUAAGACAAAUGAUGCGCAGGUAGGAUCUGAUUUGGAGUUGGGUAAGGUGACUUCUCAGGAAAAUAUCGAGAUCCAUUCCUCAAGUGAGGCUCUCAUGGUACCACAGAACAUAGCAACUCCUAAAGCAAGGAAUGCAGGUGCCAAGAGGCCCCGUGGUGCUAGCAUGGAGGUUGAUGUAUCAGUGGUUGGCAAUGGUAAGGCAGCAGUUUCUGAAUCAGAGACUGGCAAAAUGAUUCCUUGCCCGCAUGCUGGUGCAACCUCUGAAAAGGACACCAGUAGUGCAAGUGCAACAGAAAGAAAGACAACACCUCCAGAGAAGGUUCCAGUUGGUGGAGCGAGAAGAAGUGGCCUUGCGAAGAGACAGCAGAGUGUUCGCACCGAGUUAAAUGAUGCACAUGUAGAAUCUGAUUUGGAGUUGAGUAAGGUGAUUCCUCAGGAAAAUAUCGAGACAGACCCUAAGAGGUUCUGUGGCGGUGCAAAUGAUGAUGAACAUGGAAGAAAGUCACCCAAGAAGUUGCCUAAUACAAGAGUGAAAAAUACAGUUGUUAAGAAGUCUCGAAAAUCUGACACCAGCACGACCAUUGAAUCACCAGUUGAUAAAGCUGAAACAGUCCCUGCAGAGUCACUGUUUGAUGACUUGUUUCCUUCAGAAAAUGUUAAAGAUGACCCCAAAAAGCUUUCAAGCAGUGCUAGUGUGGAUGGUUGUGCCACAGUUUCCCCUGAGAACAUAUUGAGAACUAGAGUUAGGAAAGUGGUUGCCAAGAGGAAAUUAAAAAAUGUGGAAGACAAGUCAGGCAGCAAGCAUUGCAAAAUUGGUAGUAGCAUUGUAUCUGCAGCUAAAGCACUCUCAUCAGAGAGAAUAGAGAGUGCAUGCAAUAUCGAGAAAGCAACUGCCGAUCAAGACUCCCUGAAGGGCAAUAAUGAUGGUGUGAGAGAUGUAUCUGUAUUGUCUUGCAAAGAUACUGUCACUGUGGACAAGUCAGAAGGAAUGCACAAUUCCAAGUUGAGAAGUAAUGGAAGAAAUAAAGCUCCUGCUUCAGAGCAUGAUAAUGAUAACCAACAAGACCAUGGUGAUCUUAGCUCUAAAACCAGUUGUGGAAAUGGUGGUUUGAAUUCCAAAUUUGCUUUGAAAUCAAAGAAGAACAAAACAGAUAUGCUUGACAAGCAUGGAGAGAUUGACAAGUCAGAAGGAAUGCACACCUCUAAGUUGAGAUGCAGUAAAAGGAAUCAAACUCCUGCUUCUGACCAGGACAACGAUAACGGACAAGACCAUGGUAGCAAAGAUACUGUCACUGUAGACAAGUCAGAAGGAACUCGCAAUUCUAAAUUGAGAUCUAGUGCAAGAAAUAAAGCUCCUGCUUCAGAACAUGACAAUGAGAACCAGCAAGACCAUGGUGGCAAAGACACUGUCACUGUAGACAAGUCAGAAGGAAUGCACAAUUCUAAGUUGAGAAGUAGGGGCAGAAAUAAAGCUCCUGCUUCAGACCAUGGCACUGAGAACCGACAAGUCCAUGGUAGUAAAGAUACUGUCACCGUAGACAAGUCAGAAGGAACACACAAUUCUAAGCUGAGAUCUAGUGCAAGAAAUAGAACUCCUUCAGACCAUGACAAUGAGAACCGACAAAACCAUGAUCUGAAUUCCAAAUUUGCCUUGGAAUCCAAUUGUGGAAAUGGUGAUCUCAAUUCCAAAUUUACUUUGGAAUCAACGAAGAACAACACAGAUGUUGUUGACAAGCAUGGAGGGACAGAAGGAAAUGGAGCUGGAACCUUGAUCACAUUGGACCCUGCAUGCUUUAUUUUAAGUGGACAUCGUCAUCAGAGAAAAGAUUAUCGGUCAAUACUUAGACGCCUGAAGGGACGAGUUUGCAGGGAUUCACAUCAUUGGUCAUAUCAAGCAACACAUUUUAUUGCCCCUAACCCCCUAAGGAGAACUGAGAAGUUCUUUGCAGCAGCUGCUGCAGGCAGGUGGAUCCUCAAGAGUGAUUACUUGACCUCUUGCAAUGAGGCUAGCAAGUUAUUGGCUGAAGAGCCGUUUGAAUGGUCUGGUACGGGCCUCAAUGAGGGUGAAACGAUUAGCUUUGAAGCUCCCAGGAAAUGGCGUGUUCUAAGGCAGCAGAUGGGUCAUGGUGCCUUCUACGGAAUGCAGAUAGUCAUCUACGGACAACUCAUUGCUCCAUCACUGGAUACGGUGAAGCGCGCGGUGCGUGCAGGCGACGGCAACAUCCUAGCAACCGCACCGCCAUACACCAAGUUCCUGAACUCCGGCGUCGACUUUGCCGUGAUCUCAGCGGGCAUGCCCAGCGCAGACGCAUGGGUCCAAGAGUUCAUCCGUCACGACAUCCCAUGCAUCAGCGCCGACUAUCUGGUCGAGUACGUCUGCAAGCCUGGCUACUCCCUGGACACGCAUGUCCUCUUCAAGACGAACCGUCUGGCCAACAAGUCCCUGGACAAGCUGCUGAAGAGUCAGCAGGAGGUGGCCAUGGAUAACCUGGAAGAAGCAUCUGAGGACGACGGCGACGAUGACCUGAGCUGUGCAGCCUGCGGGAGCACGGACCGGGCAGAGGUGAUGCUGAUCUGCGGCAGUGAGGACGGCACGGUCGGCUGCGGGGUCGGCACGCACAUCGACUGCUGCGACCCGCCCCUGGACCGCGUCCCGGACGACGACUGGCUGUGCCCCAAGUGCGAGGCGCCCAAGGCCAAGAAGAAACCCCCGAGGGGCGCGGCGAGCAAGUCUAGAGGGUCAUCCAAGCAGCGGAGGUGA